rnacentral:rRNA from 1 species
AACGCUAGCUACAGGCUUAACACAUGCAAGUCGAGGGGUAGCACGGAAGAAGCUUGCUUCUUUGGGUGACGACCGGCGCACGGGUGAGUAACGCGUAUCCGACCUACCCAUAACACGGGCACAGCCGAUCGAAAGAUCGAUUGAUUCCCGAUAUGUUAUAUAAGUAGAUUAUAUAAUGAAAGGUUCAUCGGUUAUGGAUGGGGAUGCGUAAGAUUAGGUAGUAGGCGGGGUAACGGCCCACCUAGCCGACGAUCUUUAGGGGUUCUGAGAGGAAGGUCCCCCACACUGGUACUGAGACACGGACCAGACUCCUACGGGAGGCAGCAGUGAGGAAUAUUGGUCAAUGGGCGGAAGCCUGAACCAGCCAAGUAGCGUGAAGGAUUACAGCCCUACGGGUUUUAAACUUCUUUUAUAUAAGAGUAAUGUGCACUACGUGUAGUGUAUUGCAAGUAUUAUAUGAAUAAGCAUCGGCUAACUCCGUGCCAGCAGCCGCGGUAAUACGGAGGAUGCGAGCGUUAUCCGGAUUUAUUGGGUUUAAAGGGAGCGUAGGCGGGAUAUUAAGUCAGUCGUCAAAGCCUGUGGCUCAACCACAGCCCGCGAUUGAUACUGGUAUCCUUGAGUGCAGAUGAGGUGGAUGCAAUUCGUGGUGUAGCGGUGAAAUGCUUAGAUAUCACGAAGAACUCCGAUUG